GCAGAUGUCGAAGGCAGACGCGAAAGUCGCUACUUACCACAGUACUCUAUGUGAUGUUAGAAAAAUGAGAAGGAUGAAGAUUCCUCCGAGUCCGUCAUCUCCCCGUCUUCCGUAAAGUCUGUGCAUCCUCGACGGACUUUCAAAAUGAGUCCUCCAAUCCAACAAAGGGAUGCUUUACCAGGAAGGAACUGAGCAAUCGGCGAGCGAGGAGAGCUCGCCGGAGGGCUGCGACGUCUCGUGAGGAAGCUACGCGCCCAUGUGAGGCUGUCGACUGUUCGCCGUAGCUAGUCUUUUUCUGUGGGGGUCGAAAGGGGUUGACGCUGGAGCGCAGCGGGUUGCGCCGUGAGGCUGGGAUGCCAGGGAUGCUUCUGACAGGUUGAGCCCGCCGGCGUGCCGAACCUUGUACGCCAAGUUAGAUCCAAGGUGCCCGGCAUGAUUUGUGCACUCGCUUGUUAUUUUUUUCCUACUUGGUAAUGCUUGCAAGGCCCAGGUCCACGUGGUCUGGUGCGGGGGGGCUCCCGUCAAGAACUAUACCUAGAAUCCACGUGACUGGUCUCUCAUCUCAGUAGGCCACCUGUUUCCGUCAACCGCGGGGCCGUCUCACAUCCUAUGUUUCUUCCACAGAGCAUUCCUGGAAAUCAAAUCUGCAAGGAGAUCAAAGCCCUGCUCGAUCAUGUAAAUCUGAUGCUCACAGUGAAGAGCAGAUACUACUCGCCAGCGAAAAUGAAGACCAGACCAACAGAAGAAACAAUCUGGCUGCUACACGAGGGAGGAUUCAACAACCGUAUCGAGAAACAUUUGGGAUUGUACACAUUCGGCUCCGGCCAGAGGCGCCGGCACCGAGCUCAGUCGAUCGAAACGAACGCGCAUCCUGAAUUCCAAGGGGGAAGAGAUCAGAACGAAGCAUUCCUUUCAGAUCCCCCGCCGUGACAAGGAGAGACAAGCCGAUACCAUCCGUCGGAACGCCGCCAGAAAAAGCGUUUCCGGUCGUGCAGUUCGGAGAUCGGAAGGAAGCCGGCCGGAACCUUCUCUUCUCCUCCUCCUUCCCUGGCAUUCCUCCCGAUGUUCUGAUUUGCCCCCACAUGGUGAUCUCCCUCCUCCCGCGAGCGCCAUCACACGGCCGCCAGUGUUGCCGCCGGCGUAGAUCCCUCCCGGUCACCUCGGAGGAGCCAUCAGCUACCCCGUUCACAUCGUUUUCCAUCUGCCGCCUGCUGGCAAUCGUACCCAUCAGCCAUCUUCCCCCCCUUUCCCCAUCCCUCGCCGGGCCCGCACUCGUUUUAAACGACGACUUGUAGGCGGGAAGAGGAAAGCGCGGGAAAAUCCCUCGCAAGUCCCGUCUCACGAUCUCCGUCCACGAUCUCCUUUCCCGCGCGCUGUCUGACGUGGUACCGGCCCUGGUGCGCCGCACGUCGCCUGACACGGCUUAGCUGUCGGCCACGAGGCGGCAGACACGCCGUCUUCUUUCCUACCCCGCUCUACCGACGGCGACCACAACCGCCGUAACGACGCGGGGGUCCGCAGUCAACGGCCACGUGUCCCCCUCCCUCCCCACUAAACCCCCCCAGAUUUUCUCACAAAUGCUGAGCUCUCUGCUCACGUUUCGUGGGACAAGAGGAAUUUUUGCUUCCACCCCAC
rnacentral:lncRNA from 1 species